rnacentral:rRNA from 1 species
CAGCCGCCGCGGGAAUACGUAGGUGGCAAGCGUUGUCCGGAAUUAUUGGGCGUAAAGGGCUCGCAGGCGGUUUCUUAAGUCUGAUGUGAAAGCCCCCGGCUCAACCGGGGAGGGUCAUUGGAAACUGGGAAACUUGAGUGCAGAAGAGGAGAGUGGAAUUCCACGUGUAGCGGUGAAAUGCGUAGAGAUGUGGAGGAACACCAGUGGCGAAGGCGACUCUCUGGUCUGUAACUGACGCUGAGAAGCGAAAGCGUGGGGAGCGAACAGGAUUAGAUACCCCCGUAGUCCCUGUCUCUUAUAC